UACGGAGGGUGCAGGCGUCAAUCGGAAUUACUGGGCGUAAAGCGUGCGCAGGCGGUCUGCUAAGACAGGUGUGAAAUCCCCGGGCUUAACCUGGGAACUGCGCUUGUAACUGGCAGGCUUGAGUGUGGCAGAGGGGGGUGGAAUUCCAGGUGUAGCAGUGAAAUGCGUAGAGAUCUGGAGGAACACCGAUGGCGAAGGCAGCCCCCUGGGCUAACACUGACGCUCAUGCACGAAAGCGUGGGGAGCAAACAGG
rnacentral:rRNA from 1 species